UGGAAACUGGGGAACUUGAGUGCAGAAGAGGAGAGUGGAAUUUCCACGUGUAGCGGUGAAAUGCGUAGAGAUGUGGAGGAACACCAGUGGCGAAGGCGACUCUCUGGUCUGUAACUGACGCUGAGGCGCGAAAGCGUGGGGAGCGAACAGGAUUAGAUACCCUGGUAGUCCACGCCGUAAACGAUGAGUGCUAAGUGUUAGAGGGUUUCCGCCCUUUAGUGCUGCAGCAAACGCAUUAAGCACUCCGCCUGGGGAGUACGGUCGCAAGACUGAAACUCAAAGGAAUUGACGGGGGCCCGCACAAGCGGUGGAGCAUGUGGUUUAAUUCGAAGCAACGCGAAGAACCUUACCAGGUCUUGACAUCCUCUGACAACCCUAGAGAUAGGGCUUCCCCUUCGGGGGCAGAGUGACAGGUGGUGCAUGGUUGUCGUCAGCUCGUGUCGUGAGAUGUUGGGUUAAGUCCCGCAACGAGCGCAACCCUUGAUCUUAGUUGCCAGCAUUCAGUUGGGCACUCUAAGGUGACUGCCGGUGACAAACCGGAGGAAGGUGGGGAUGACGUCAAAUCAUCAUGCCCCUUAUGACCUGGGCUACACACGUGCUACAAUGGGCAGAACAAAGGGCAGCGAAGCCGCGAGGCUAAGCCAAUCCCACAAAUCUGUUCUCAGUUCGGAUCGCAGUCUGCAACUCGACUGCGUGAAGCUGGAAUCGCUAGUA
rnacentral:rRNA from 1 species